UCUCGAUAGCGUAAAAGUUAACUCAAAUUUGUAUGGAGUUGGAACGUCUGCCUACGUUUGCCGCUAAGAGCGUUGUUUCAAUUGUAUAAAGUUUGAGUUAACUUUUUCGAUAUCGA
rnacentral:pre_miRNA from 9 species